GCAUGGAUUUAUUAGGAACUUAAUAAGUUCUAAAGAAAUACAGACUUUAGUAUACUGAGUAUGAAGUGAUGAACACAACUACAAGGAUUAAAAAGAAUACACAAGUUAACUAUGUAUAUAUAUAUCUGUGAUAUUCUUAAUUAAUAAAUUUAGAUAUGCAUAAACUAUUUCUGGAUGGUUCAUAUACAUGGUAUCAAUUCUCAGUGAGAAACUAAA